GGCCUGUUGCUGCUGCACAUUAUGAGUGUGUUCCUGGCAUGACUGCUUCUAACAGCAACAUUUCAUUAAGUUUUUAAGUGCCUGGCAAUUGCUUGGUUACAACCGGCGUCUGCUCCAUGGCAGCCUCUUCCUGGGACCAGAUCUGAACAGUCUGGAGAGAGGAGCUGUGCUGGCAGCAGACAGAUCUCUGCUUCAGGGGCCAGGUGUCCAGAAGAAAUGCUGAUGCAGUGUCAUGCUGGUGUGUGUCCUCCUUACAGAAUGCCUGAACAGUUCCAUUGACUCAAAGUGAAGAUCAAAAGAACCAAAUGACAGCAAUAGCUAAGUGUAAUCAUCAGUAACCCUGUGUUCUAUCCACGGGUAAAGAACAAUCAUCCUCUUCAUUAUGGGUUUCAAUUUAAAAUGUAAUACAUUUUUAGAAAUGCCUA
rnacentral:sRNA from 1 species